AGCCGCUCAGAACUUAAGGAAUUGACGGGGCCGCACAAGCGGUGGAGUAUGUGGUUUAAUUCGAUGCAACGCGAAGAACCUUACCUGGUCUUGACAUCCCGGAGACCCUUAGGAAACUAGGGGGUGCUUCCAUCUGGAAGAAUCUGGAGACAGGUGCUGCAUGGCUGUCGUCAGCUCGUGUCGUGAGAUGUUGGGUUAAGUCCCGCAACGAGCGCAACCCUUGCCUUUAGUUGCCAGCAGUUCGGCUGGGCACUCUAAAGGGACUGCCGGUGUUAAACCGGAGGAAGGUGGGGAUGACGUCAAGUCCUCAUGGCCUUUAUGACCAGGGCUACACACGUACUACAAUGGCCGAUACAAAGGGCAGCGACACUGCGAGGUGAAGCCAAUCCCGUAAAAUCGGUCUCAGUCCGGAUUGGAGUCUGCAACUCGACUCCAUGAAGCUGGAAUCGCUAGUAAUCGUGGAUCAGCAUGCCACGGUGAAUACGUUCCCGGGCCUU
rnacentral:rRNA from 1 species